rnacentral:rRNA from 1 species
GUUAGCGGCGGACGGGUGAGUAACACGUAGGCAACCUGCCCGUAAGACCGGGAUAACUACCGGAAACGGUAGCUAAUACCGGAUAAUUUAUCGCUUCGCAUGGAGCGGUAAUGAAAGACGGAGCAAUCUGUCACUUACGGAUGGGCCUGCGGCGCAUUAGCUAGUUGGUGAGGUAACGGCUCACCAAGGCGACGAUGCGUAGCCGACCUGAGAGGGUGAACGGCCACACUGGGACUGAGACACGGCCCAGACUCCUACGGGAGGCAGCAGUAGGGAAUCUUCCGCAAUGGGCGAAAGCCUGACGGAGCAACGCCGCGUGAGUGAUGAAGGUUUUCGGAUCGUAAAGCUCUGUUGCCAGGGAAGAACGUCGGGUAGAGUAACUGCUWCC